rnacentral:rRNA from 1 species
GGGGAAUAUUGGACAAUGGGCGCAAGCCUGAUCCAGCCAUGCCGCGUGUGUGAGGAAGGCCUUCGGGUUGUAAAGCACUUUUGUAAGGGAAGAAAAGCACUCGGUUAAUACCCGGGUGUCAUGACGGUACCGUAAGAAUAAGCACCGGCUAACUUCGUGCCAGCAGCCGCGGUAAGACGAAGGGGGCUAGCGUUGUUCGGAAUUACUGGGCGUAAAGGGCGCGUAGGCGGUUUGUUAAGUCAGGCGUGAAAGCCCUGGGCUCAACCUGGGAUGUGCGCUUGAUACUGGCAAGCUUGAGUGCAGGAGAGGAUGGUGGAAUUCCCAGUGUAGAGGUGAAAUUCGUAGAUAUUGGGAAGAACACCGGUGGCGAAGGCGGCCAUCUGGACUGCAACUGACGCUGAGGCGCGAAAGCGUGGGGAGCAA